rnacentral:snoRNA from 1 species
UUUGCGGAUAGGAACCAAGUGAUAACUUUUUCUUACCUGGGCCGAUAAACCGCAGAAAUAGGCAGCCUGUGUUAAGGUCGUUUGAUGUACCAGUGUACUUUGAGCAUUACCGACAUGGUCGACAUUU